UCAAAUGUGGGAGCAAGAGUUUUCAGAGC
rnacentral:piRNA from 1 species